AGAGAUGUGUGAUGACGCAUAUCAAUAAGCGGAGGAAAAGAAACUAACAAGGAUUCCCCUAGUAACGGCGAGUGAAGCGGGAAGAGCUCAAAUUCGAAAUCUUCAGGGUUUUCCCUUGACGAAUUGUAGUUUAAAGAAGUGUUUUCUGUUGGAGUUUUCGGUAAAAGUUCUUUGGAAUAGGACAUCAUAGAGGGUGAGAAUCCCGUAUUUGACCAUUAUUUUCAGCUGUGUGAUACACUUUCAAAGAGUCGGAUUGUUUGGGAAUGCAGUCCAAAAUGGGUGGUAAAUUUCAUCUAAAGCUAAAUAUUGGCGAGAGACCGAUAGCGAACAAGUACCGUGAGGGAAAGAUGAAAAGAACUUUGAAAAGAGAGUUAAACAGUACGUGAAAUUGUCAAAAGGGAAGCGUUUGACACCAGUGUUGUUUUCUCGAAAAUCAAUUAAAAUGGCUUGGAUUUGUAAGUUGCUAAUUGACCUUAUAAGCUUGUUCUUCACGUUUUUCUAUGUCUUUUUAAAUGCACUUUUCGUUUAACAAGUCAACAUCAAUUUCCUUUGUUGUAAAAGGGUCAGUAGGAAGGUGGCUUUGACUUUCGGUAAAGUGUUUAUAGCCUUUUACCUCCUGCAGUCGGAGAGACUGAGGUCUGCAGCGUAGAUCCUUCUUGGGAUUAGAUUACAUUUGUGCUAAGUUAUAGCUUUUUAUAGACAACUUGUUGACUAUGAUUAGUCUUGUAGUCUUACUCGCUUAUGCUAUUUUACCUACGCUUAGGAUGUUGACGCAUGAGAUAUACGC
rnacentral:rRNA from 1 species